CGAGCCGCGCCCAGGGGAGGCCCCGCCCCGAGGCGGGGCCAUCCUACCGCGCAGGCGCACUCCACAGGCUACGCCUUCUGCGGGGUAGAGCCGAGUUGCGUCGUCAGCCCGUGUGAGGAACCGGCUCCCGUGCCCACAGCCGGCCGGGGCGGGAGUCGGACGCCGGGAACGGGCGCGGAGGCUGUCCUUGAGGAACCAUGCCCAAGGAUCUUCAAAUGUGGACCUGAGUUGGGUGAUGAGAUCCUGGAGAUGGAGCCAUCAUAAUGCAAUGAGACCCCGGGGUGCUGGACACGUGUAUUUUGGCUGUGGCCAGAGGGCAGAUUGUAUUUCCCAAAGGUGGACAUGAUAAUAUUUCCCAUCCCACAGGCUCUCACCCAGUGGAGUCAGGAAGUAAAGUCUAAGAGCGUAUGAUUAGCCUACCAGUGAAGAUGCCCACAUUCCACGUUAGAGUACCUGCAUUCAGUUCUUAGCUCUAGCUCCCAACUCCAGCUUUCCUGUUAAUGCAGACACUGAGAGGCAGCAGUGAUGGUUCAAGUGAUUGGGUUCCUGCCACCGGCAUGGAAGAUCAGGAUUGAGUUCCUGGCUCCCAGCUUCAGUCUGGCCUGGUCUGGCCUGGCCCAGCCUGUCUUUGGCCCUUGUGUUGUGCACUUGGGUAAUGAAGCAGUGGAUGGGAGUGUUCUUCUUUCUUUCUCAAAUUAGUACAUAAGGAAAUAAAAAAAGUGGAGUCCAAGUCCCCUUUCUUUGAUUCUGGCUGACCUUAAAACUUGCCUGUAACCAAGUGAAUGUGACAAAAGUAUCACUUCUGAGACUAGGUCAAAAAAGUUCUACAACUUCUACCAGGUUCUCUCGGUAUACCCCUCAAGUUGGCAGUCCCAACGGAGCCCAGCCUUCCAGCCAUCCUCAUCAAGGCACCAGACAUGUGACCAAGACUACAUGGGCACUCUAGACCUGUUUAAGUGCCAGCUGAAUAUUACCAAUGAACUCUGUCAACACCACUUGGAGCAAAAGUAGUCCAGUCUCAACCAUAACCUAUAGAACUCAUGGGAUCUAAUAAAAUGGUGGUGGUUUCCAGUCACUAUCUUUUGGAGUAGUUUGUUUGCAGCAACAGCAGUUGAAUAUUCUGCCACCUAAGAAAAUGUCUUGCUUGCCUGUGUGGCACAGAAGGAUGUGAAUUCAGCAAGGGAGUUCUGGCUGCUGCUUAAUAAAGUCUUUCAAUCACC